rnacentral:rRNA from 1 species
CGUAGGGUGCGAGCGUUAAUCGGAAUUACUGGGCGUAAAGCGUGCGCAGGCGGUUACAUAAGACAGAUGUGAAAUCCCCGGGCUCAACCUGGGAACUGCAUUUGUGACUGUAUAGCUAGAGUACGGCAGAGGGGGAUGGAAUUCCGCGUGUAGCAGUGAAAUGCGUAGAUAUGCGGAGGAACACCGAUGGCGAAGGCAAUCCCCUGGGCCUGUACUGACGCUCAUGCACGAAAGCGUGGGGAGCAAACAGGAUUAGAUACCCUGGUAGUCCACGCCCUAAACGAUGUCAACUGGUUGUUGGGUCUUCACUGACUCAGUAACGAAGCUAACGCGUGAAGUUGACCGCCUGGGGAGUACGGCCGCAAGGUUG